rnacentral:rRNA from 1 species
UGGGGAAUCUUGCGCAAUGCGCGAAAGCGUGGCGCAGCAACGCCGCGUGGGGGAAGAAGGCCUUCGGGUUGUAAACCCCUUUCAGGAGGGACGAAGGUGUGGCGGUGAAUAGCCGUCCGCACUGACGGUACCUCCACAAGAAGCCCCGGCUAACUACGUGCCAGCAGCCGCGGUAAUACGUAGGGGGCUAGCGUUGUCCGGAAUCAUUGGGCGUAAAGCGCGCGUAGGCGGCCCGGUAAGUCCGCUCUGAAAGUCCAGGGCUCAACCCUGGAAUGCGGGUGGAUACUGCCGGGCUAGAGUCCGGAAGAGGCGAGUGGAAUUCCUGGUGUAGCGGUGGAGUGCGCAGAUAUCAGGAGGAACACCAAUAGCGAAGGCAGCUCGCUGGGACGGUACUGACGCUAAGGCGCGAAAGCGUGGGGAGCAAACAGGAUUAGAUACCCUGGUAGUCCACGCCGUAAACGAUGGGCACUAGGUGUGGGAGGUGUCGACUCCUCCCGUGCCGACGCUAACGCAUUAAGUGCCCCGCCUNNGGAGUACGGCCGCAAGGCU